rnacentral:antisense_RNA from 1 species
GAUACCCAAAGAUUGUAAAUGGGUUAAGAGUUGGGCUAGUAACAGUUCUGACCUCGCCGAUGACAGGGUCAUAGAUACCGAAGAAAACAGCCCAGAGGACUAAAAACAAGGCACCCAACCCAAGAAGAAUUAAGUGGUGACCAAGGAUAAAACCUAGACGUUUACCAUCACCCCA